CUGGAUGAGUUAUAGAUCAUCUCUUAAAAAGACUUUCAGCCUUGGUUUGAAGACUUUAUGUGACAGAGAGAAUCUAUGACAUCUGCAGGGUUUGAAAAGAGAGAGGCAGAAUUGGCGUUGCCACUUCCAUCAGUAGAACAUGCAAAGGAAACCAGGACAGGUGAAGCUGCACUGGAAGGACCGAAAACACACUGCAGAGGAAGGGAAGAGCAUGGGAACAUUAGGGAUGCAAAGUCAGGCCUGGAAGAAGCAAGAGAAGGAGGAGGAUGGCCACAGAAGUUUGAGAACAUGGGCUCAGGCUGAAAUGCUGCCUCUGUGCAUUAUUGCACCAUGUGUGAACCCAGGACAGUUCUGUAGGUGCAGGUGCCAUGUGCAGGUACUCGCCCCAACACCUGUGCUGAUCAUGGGAGCCACAGGACUUCAAAGGGCUUCAGAUAUGGUGAUCUGGCAGGGGACAGUCUUAGCAGUAUUCCAUCAGAGUGAAAGUGCCGUUGGUUUGUCCAGAGAAGGUGUGACAUCUGGCAUCUGAAGUAGCCCAGAAACCUUUUGCAGGCCAAGACUCUAAAUUAGGAUUCCCAACAUCCGCAGAGCGGAUGUAUGGGCUGCCAGGGGCUGUUAGGCAAUCCCAAAGGACCUUGACCAUCCCAGACAGAUCCCAGUUUCUGUAGCUGCUCCCAUUUCUAGAGGCACAUGCUGUGAAAGGGCUACCUGCUUGAGUGAGUGACACAGGUGAUGCCUGAGGAUCUCUCUUCAAUGAAUGUUGAAAAGG